rnacentral:rRNA from 1 species
ACUAGUGAUUGGGAUCGCCCUUACUCCUACGGGAGGCAGCAGUGGGGAAUAUUGCACAAUGGGCGCAAGCCUGAUGCAGCAACGCCGCGUGCGGGAAGAAGGCCCUAGGGUUGUAAACCGCUUUCAGCAGGGAAGAAAAUGACGGUACCUGCAGAAGAAGGUGCGGCCAACUACGUGCCAGCAGCCGCGGU